CUCAGACAGCCAGGAUGUUGGCUUAGAAGCAGCCAUCAUUUAAAGAAAGCGUAAUAGCUCACUGGUCGAGUCGGCCUGCGCGGAAGAUGUAACGGGGCUAAACUAUGCACCGAAGCUGCGGCAGCGAUAUUUAGAUAUUGUUGGGUAGGGGAGCGUUCUGUAAGCCUGUGAAGGUGUGCUGUGAGGCAUGCUGGAGGUAUCAGAAGUGCGAAUGCUGACAUAAGUAACGAUAAUGCGGGUGAAAAACCCGCACGCCGGAAGACCAAGGGUUCCUGUCCAACGUUAAUCGGGGCAGGGUGAGUCGACCCCUAAGGCGAGGCAGAAAUGCGUAGUCGAUGGGAAACGGGUUAAUAUUCCCGUACUGGUGAUAAUUGCGAUGGGGGGACGGAGAAGGCUAGGCUAUCCGGGCGACGGUUGUCCCGGUUUAAGGAUGUAGGCAGGUGAAUUAGGCAAAUCCGGUUCACUAUAUGCUGAGGUCCGACGACGAGUCACUACGGUGAUGAAGUAGCUCAUGCCCCGCUUCCAGGAAAAGCCUCUAAGCUCUAGAUUAUCAUUAAUCGUACCCCAAACCGACACAGGUGGUCAGGUAGAGAAUACUCAGGCGCUUGA
rnacentral:rRNA from 1 species